UACAUGUGGGGCAAGCGUUGUUCGGAAUUACUGGGCAUAAAGGGUGCGUAGGCGGCUUGUUAAGUCAGGGGUGAAAGUUUUCGGCCCAACCGGAAAAUGGCCUUUGAUACUGGCGAGCUUGAGUGCGUGAGGGGUAACCGGAACGAGCAGUGUAGCGGUGAAAUGCGUAGAGAUUUGGAGGAACACCAGUGGCGAAGGCGACUUUCUGGUCUGUAACUGACACUGAGGCGCGAAAGCGUGGGGAGCAAACAGG
rnacentral:rRNA from 1 species